CCUCAUGGUGGACGGCGCAGGCGGCGGAGGCGCGUGGAGGGCAGCCGGCGCGUAGCCACCGGAGAUCUCAGGCCAGAGACCCGGGAACGGAGGGGUGCGGGACCACAAAACUUUGUGGCCAAGAGAGGGAGUAGCACCGCCUGCGCCGUCCUCCAUGAGGGCCGCCGCCUCGUUCCGGACUUCGGCUGCCCUCCACGCGACUCUGUCGUCUGCUGCCGAAGCACCCAACUACGUCGUCCUCGUCAUUUGUGUGCCGCCCCGCUCGAAUCCGCCGUCUAUCUGCCGCCGCGUCUCGAAGACGAAGUUUGAUGUUCACAUGCGACACAACUUCGGCUACGGGGUUUCUCCACACGAAUUCCAGCUCAAUAUUGUGGAUGCCUCAUCUUUCAACCGUCACAUCUUCGGCGGGGCUUUGGCUCUAUCAAGGACUUUGGGACCUUCUGCUUGUUCCUGUUAGAGAAGGCACAGGUCGAGCUUGUACCUGGGGAUGCAUUUGGAGAUGAUAAGGGUGUUCGUAUCACCUAUGUUGCUGCACUGUCAACGCUACAAGAUGCAAUGGAGAAGAUAAAAGAAGCAACCACUCUGCUCAAGCCACGAGUUGCGGUUUAACAAAGGCAGUGUCGACCAAAGGAAUUUUCACCAUCAAUGCCUUGUUAUAUUAAAUGGUGGCUACUGAAAAGUAGUUAAACAUGUCAUUGUUGUAUAAAAGAGAAAGGCUCAUGGUUUCUUAGUGAAAAGUAGUUAAACAUGUCAUUGUUGUAUAAAAGAGAAAGACUCUGGAGCUAUGUUUACUUGAUUGAAAUUCUGUAGUUUUCAUUUGGGUUUUGUUGUUGUUUCACUCGAGCUUCUUCUGUGUUUCACCAAGGUUUAACAUGAGUUUCAUGUUUUCACUAGAGUUUUAA